UGCCCCCACCUCACCGGCCGAGGAAAAAAAAAUGGCCGGGUGUGCGCGUGCCCAGUAUGGGGUAGUGAAGCUAGCUGCCCUAAGAAGGGCAGGAAGGCAGGUGGCGUGGCACCGAGGCUGGGAGACUCAGAGACUCAGCCAGGGGGCGCGGAGCUCUUGGAAUGCGCAUGUGCACAGCUUGGGGCGAGGCAGGCGCGGGAGGAGCAGAAGCAGGAUCCAGCCUGGGAUUGUAGAGUGACAGCUGUGGUAUUGAAGAUGCGUGUCCUCCUUUCACCUGCGAGUCACCACAGAAGGGCAAAUUUGGUUUUAUAGAGCCAUGGAUGGCCUGGAACUCACUAUGCAGACCAGGCUGGCUGUGAACUCACAGAGCUCCACCUACCUUUGCCUUCCCAGUGCUGAGAUUAAAGGCAUCUGCUACCAUGCUCAGUGUUGUCAUUACUUUUGGCCACCCAUGCUUGGGUGUAGCUUUCUAUUAUGAAAGAACUGUUGAAUAAGGAGGAAAUCGUUUUCAAAGAGAUGAUGUAGUUAGAAAAUCAUAUUUAUCUAUGAAUUGCCAUGUUGUUAUAUUGUGUAGUCAUUUGGUUUUAAACUUAUUCUUACGUUUUAUUUUGUAGUUUCCACUUUCAUGUCUAAUGGAUAAGCAUUCUCUGUCAGUAGUAAUUCAUGGUUUAGUUAUUUAUUUUGUGUAACAUGGGUUGGGAGAAGGUUAUGCACUAACUGUUCUAGUGACUAUCCUCUUGACCCAUGAGCGACCUGGCUUCUCCAAGAAAGCUCCCCUAAAGUUAAAUAUUCUUCAAGGUGUAUUCAUUGAUUCUAAUUUCCUGAUUGGGAAAAGUUGCAAAUCCAGAGCCAAGGUUCUGUCAGACUGUCAUUAGUCCCCUUAAGAGCCCACCCUGGCCCAUCCUGUGUGACCUAACCUCAUUUUGGCUAUCAGGUAAAACUUUUGGGAUGUGUAAACAUCCAAAUUAGCUUCUGCCUACUCAAAGCCACAAGUGUCAUCAGAUAACAGCUAAGUUCUCUCCACAUCACUGUAAACUUCUCACCUGCUGUCCCCACCAAUAUAUCUGAAGAAAUAAUCCCUUGACUUAUGAGUUGGUAUUGUGUAACUAUACAGACAGUGGAACCAGUUCUGUGUUGGCACAUGUUAUGUGGGGCAGUCUGAGUCUGUACCUGGGUCAUGGUCACUCAUAUUUGGAUCAAGAAAAAAAAGUAUUUUGCAUCAACAUAUUAUUGUAUAGGGUUAUAAUGCUGUAUGAACAUUGUUUGCAUUAUAUAGAUGAGCAACCUGAAGCACCGUGUCUUUCUGAUCCUUAGCAUUCGUAAACAAUUAGUGCAUUCUGAAACUUGAGUGUAUUUGCAUCCAUACACUUACUUGAUUGUUCAGACAAGGAUUAAAAGCAGAAUGGGAAAAGAUAGGGAAAUUAAUUAUCUGAUUUUUUUAUGCCUGUAUAUAUUGUACAUAAUUUUAAUAAAAUGAUUCUUUAUCAUGGAAA